GCAUAUCAAUAAGCGGAGGAAAAGAAACCAACAGGGAUUCCCCUAGUAACGGCGAGUGAAGCGGGAACAGCUCAAAUUUGAAAUCUGGCCCUCGGGUCCGAGUUGUAAUUUGUAGAGGAUGCUUUUGGUGCGGUGCCUUCCGAGUUCCCUGGAACGGGACGCCUUAGAGGGUGAGAGCCCCGUACGGUUGGACGCCUAGCCUCUGUAAAGCUCCUUCGACGAGUCGAGUAGUUUGGGAAUGCUGCUCUAAAUGGGAGGUAUAUUUCUUCUAAAGCUAAAUACUGGCCAGAGACCGAUAGCGCACAAGUAGAGUGAUCGAAAGAUGAAAAGCACUUUGAAAAGAGGGUUAAAUAGCACGUGAAAUUGUUGAAAGGGAAGCGUUUAUCACCAGACUUUUUCUAGGGGGAUCAUCCGGCGUUCUCGCCGGUGCACUUCCCCUAGUUGAGGCCAGCAUCGGUUUUCGGAGGGGGAUAAAAGCUUCGGGAAUGUGACUCCCUCGGGAGUGUUAUAGCCCGUUGCAUAAUACCCUUCUGGGGACCGAGGUUCGCGCAUCUGCAAGGAUGCUGGCAUAAUGGUGAUCAACGACCCGUCUUGAAACACGGACCAAGGAGUCGAACAUUUAUGCGAGUGUUUGGGUGUCAAACCCUCACGCGUAAUGAAAGUGAACGGAGGUGAGAGCCCGUACGGGUGCAUCAUCGACCGAUCCUGAUGUCUUCGGAUGGAUUUGAGUAAGAGCAUAACUGUUCGGACCCGAAAGAUGGUGAACUAUGCGUGGAUAGGGUGAAGCCAGGAGAAAUCCUGGUGGAGGCUCGCAGCGGUUCUGACGUGCAAAUCGAUCGUCAAAUCUGCGCAUGGGGGCGAAAGACUAAUCGAACCAUCUAGUAGCUGGUUACCGCCGAAG
rnacentral:rRNA from 1 species